GACGUUGUUUUCUUCCUUUCACUUCCGUCCUCGUCAUCCCGACGACAACAAGGAUACUCUCAUUCAUACUAUAGAGAAGAUGCGUCCUCGAGGCUAGAGCGGUGCUGUCAGUCAUUGGCUCAGGCGGGCGCGGUGUCGCCAUGGCAACACGCGUGACAUAUUCCUCUUGGCAAUAGAUACUGAAAGCCUCCAGGAGAUUUUGAAGACCCAGCCAAGAGAGGGAGAUGAGCACUAGAUCAUCUGCAUACAUCAAGAUGAAAAUCUUUCUGUUUCUUUCCAUUACUGUACCACAUAAGCUGAAGCAUGGCAUGUAGCUUACACCUGACCAAUUGUAACUACUAGCAAAGCCAAGGUGACACAGAAAGGGCUUUCAUUGUAAAGCUAUGUGCAGGGUGAUCUCCAAUAUCAAAUCAUUGCAGCCCUCUAAGGGGCCUGAAGCAUUUCAACUACUGGAACUAGCUUUGAAAAGAAGGAGAUCUCAAAAUGAAUAUGUCUUAUUCCUGUCAGCUGAAGAAGUAUAAAUUUCUUUUGCUAGCAAAGUUUUCCAUACGGGACAGCAGCAACUCUUGCUGCUCAAAUGUCAACAUCAGCAACACUGGUUUGAAGACUCAAAACGGUAUACAUAUAGAAGAAAUAAGAUGAGGACAGGUUUAUGGCAAUCUGAAGACAAACCUAUGCCAGGGUUUUCUUGGAAAGAUCUGUUCAGAGGUUUGCCUUUGCUUGUCUUUAAGGUGGAGAGAAUGUGAUUUGCCCAGGGUCACCCAGUGGGGUUCCAUGAGCCAAUGGGGAUUUGAGUCUUGAUCUCCAGUCGUAGUCCAAUGUAUAUAAUAGGGGAAACUUUCUCAUGGUAUAGUUAGAUAAACUACUAGAAUUCUUGCAUAAUUAAAGAAUAAACUUCUCUAUGAGAUAUUUAUCAUUUACUUAACUAGAAUAGCUUUUGAAGGAAAGUUAAAUAUGUUCAUGGAGUAUAGGGUCAUCAGUGGUCAUUAGUCAUGAUGGCUUGACUCAUGUUUCUCAGUAUCAGUUCCUGAUGAGUAUGAACAGGAAACUGAUGAUAUCUGACUUACGGGUUCCCAUAGACAUCUAGCUGGAUACAGUAGGAACAGGAUACUGAACUACAGUACUUACGCCUGUGAGCUGAUUCAGCACAGCUUAAAUGGUCUUGUGAGUUACAUCCAAAUAAACAUGCAUAAACAGA